rnacentral:rRNA from 1 species
UGGGGAAUCUUCCGCAAUGGACGAAAGUCUGACGGAGCAACGCCGCGUGAGUGAUGACGGCCUUCGGGUUGUAAAGCUCUGUUAAUCGGGACGAAAGGCCUUCUUGCGAAUAGUUAGAAGGAUUGACGGUACCGGAAUAGAAAGCCACGGCUAACUACGUGCCAGCAGCCGCGGUAAUACGUAGGUGGCAAGCGUUGUCCGGAAUUAUUGGGCGUAAAGCGCGCGCAGGCGGAUCAGUCAGUCUGUCUUAAAAGUUCGGGGCUUAACCCCGUGAUGGGAUGGAAACUGCUGAUCUAGAGUAUCGGAGAGGAAAGUGGAAUUCCUAGUGUAGCGGUGAAAUGCGUAGAUAUUAGGAAGAACACCAGUGGCGAAGGCGACUUUCUGGACGAAAACUGACGCUGAGGCGCGAAAGCCAGGGGAGCGAACGGGAUUAGAUACCCCGGUAGUCCUGGCCGUAAACGGUGGGUACUAGGUGUAGGAGGUAUCGACCCCUUCUGUGCCGGAGUUAACGCAAUAAGUACCCCGCCUGGGGAGUACGACCGCAAGGUUG